rnacentral:rRNA from 1 species
GAACGAGAAAGUGGGAGCAAUCCCAUGAGUAAAGUGGCGUACGGGUGAGUAACACGUGACUAACCUACCCUGGAGUGGGGGAUAACUGAGGGAAACCUUAGCUAAUACCGCAUAAUACCCACGGGUCAAAGGAGCAAUUCGCUCUAGGAGGGGGUCGCGGCCGAUUAGUUAGUUGGCAGGGUAACGGCCUACCAAGACGAUGAUCGGUAUCCGGCCUGAGAGGGCGCACGGACACACUGGAACUGAAACACGGUCCAGACUCCUACGGGAGGCAGCAGUGGGGAAUUUUGCGCAAUGGGGGAAACCCUGACGCAGCAACGCCGCGUGGAGGAUGAAGUCCUUCGGGACGUAAACUCCUUUCGAUCGGGACGAUUAUGACGGUACCGGAAGAAGAAGCCCCGGCUAACUUCGUGCCAGCAGCCGCGGUAAUACGAGGGGGGCGAGCGUUGUUCGGAAUUAUUGGGCGUAAAGGGUGCG